GAUGAACGCUGGCGGCGUGCCUAAUACAUGCAAGUCGAACGAGGUCUUCGGACCUAGUGGCGAACGGGUGAGUAACACGUUGGUACCUACCCCGAAGUGGGGAAUAACUGCCCGAAAGGGUGGCUAAUACCGCAUAAUACCGCAAGGUUAAAGCAGUGAUGCGCUUCGGGAGGGGCCUGCGUCCCAUUAGCUAGUUGGUAGGGUAAUGGCCUACCAAGGCGACGAUGGGUAGCUGGAUCGAGAGGUUGACCAGCCACACUGGGACUGAGAUACGGCCCAGACUCCUACGGGAGGCAGCAGUAAGGAAUCUUCCACAAUGGACGAAAGUUUGAUGGAGCAACGCCGCGUGCAGGAUGACGGCCUUCGGGUUGUAAACUGCUUUUAUACGGGAAGAUUAUGACGGUACCGUAUGAAUAAGGACCGGCUAACUACGUGCCAGCAGCCGCCGUAA
rnacentral:rRNA from 1 species